rnacentral:lncRNA from 1 species
CCCCAUCCCGCAGCACUAAAAUUAGCGGGCAGGAAAGAAGGGAAAGAUUCAACCAUAAGAAAAGGGAACCCCAAACACAGAGAGACAGAAAGGUGAGCUCAGCCCGCCCCGCUGCAGACACCACCACAGCUGUAACAAAAUCAGUUUAAUGGACACAACCAGCACUGCUGCUGCGGAAGAGGCUGGAGCUGGAUCCCAGCAGAGGAGACCGCAGGCUGCAUGUUCAGGGCCAGGAGAGGAGUGCAGACAUUCUGGCUCCCACCCUGCCAGGGAUGAGCUGUCUUGCAGAGCCCAGAAACUGCAGUGAGCAGCUUGAGAAGACAGCAAAGAAGGUGCCCCCAGCUCCCCAAAAAUCCAAGCAUGUGAGAGAGGAAGCGUUGGUGUCUUGGGAGCCUGCCCACCACCCCACUGUCACGCAGUGGCCCCCCGCAAGGCACUGACGGCAUUGAGGCGGCUGAAGGACGACAGCUCAGAGAUGUUGGCCCGGAGGAAGAGGAGGAUGACAUUGAGGUCGUUGAUGGGACAGAACUGCUCUGGAUCAUCGCUCGCCUGCUGGACCUUCCUCAUGUGCUGCACCAGGCGCACGGAGCGGUUGUAGGACUUGUCCAGCUCAUCGAUGAUGAAGAGGAGGUCAGAGUGAAGGGCAGGGGAGGCUGCAUAACGCCACAGCAGCAGAGAACUCCCGGGCGAAGGCCAGCGAGACGAG